rnacentral:ncRNA from 2 species
UGUAUAUUUGGUAAUCACGGUGGAAGUCCGUGGCACUGCCGGUACUGUUACAGCCAGAAAACAAUAUAUACA